rnacentral:rRNA from 1 species
UACGUAGGGGGCAAGCGUUGUCCGGAAUCAUUGGGCGUAAAGAGCGUGUAGGCGGCUCGUUAAGUUCGUUGUGAAAGCCCCGGGCUCAACCUGGGAACUGCAAUGGAAACUGGCGGGCUUGAGUGUGGCAGAGGGGGGUGGAAUUCCGCGUGUAGCAGUGAAAUGCGUAGAGAUGCGGAGGAACACCGAUGGCGAAGGCAGCCCCCUGGGCCAACACUGACGCUCAGGCACGAAAGCGUGGGGAGCAAACAGG